rnacentral:lncRNA from 1 species
GCAAACAUUCACAGACUCAUAUUGACUCUGUAAACCAAUGUGGUAACUCUGCAUCCAUAUGUAAGACGAAAGACGAUUGUUUCCGAGCACUGCGUGCUAAGCUAUCUGCCUUAAGGUUCGCCGUCCUAGGAACAUGAAUGAUUUCUGAGUUGAGGAAACUUCUUCUGAGAAGCUUAAUGUCUUCCAGGUAGCUUUCAAAUGCUGGCCAUUCUUCUGGUUCCGAAACCAUCUUCACCAAUUGAGAACAAUCCGUUGCAAACGUAACCUGAAAUUGUCUUAAAUUUUUCAUACAUUCUAUUGCCCAUAUUAAUGCCUUCAUCUCCGAAUGAAGAGGGGAGAGACAUGCCUGUACAUUCCUUGCCCCUAACAAUCCAUCAAAACCCGGGAGAGUGCUAAACCAGCCUUGCCCUGAAUACAGGUCCUUAUCCUUCCAUGAACCAUCUGUGAAACACCAUCUCCCUGCAUUCGCCUGGAUGGGUCUGGUCUGUACUUCCUGUACCAAACUUUGAUUCCUUAAUAACUGCGCUUCAGUCCAAAGUGUUGAUUCUAAUUCCGCUAACUUAAGAGUGUCCCUCGGAUCAAUAUCAAUAUUGCUAAACACUUUGUUAUUCCGACUUUUCCAGAUGUACCAUAUUAUCCAUGCAAACUGAUGGUCCUC